GGUAGCACCCCGCUGAGUAACGGGUAUCAUAUAGUCGAGAAACUCGACUACAGCGUUCUCUCUUGUUUUUAGCUGGAACCCUGAUCCCGGCGCUAUUUGAACGGACAUGAAUUUGGCCCAGGUUGGCCAACUACAUACAUACAUACAUGCAUGCAUACAUACAUAUGUAUGUAUAACUCAGCUUGCUUGCUUUCAUCUACUAAAUAAUCCCGAAACGCGCAGCUGGACACUGUAUUGUUCCCAGUGCAGAUCUGCUCUUCCCCCGCCCCCCGGCGGCCCCCACAAAUUGGUGGUAAUGAACAUUCUGCAGAGGAGGAACCGAUUCCCGCCUUUUUCCUUCCUUUUCCCUCUUCCAAUCUCGCGCCGCUUCCCCCGCCACGCCCCGCAUGCAGCCUGCACUUACGCAUAAUCUCCGCUAUCUUCAUUUUUAGGACUUCUUGCGAAACAAAAGCUUCUCGUGGAAGGAUUCUUCUAUUUGCAGUACUCACGCAGUAUUCACGAAGUAUUCAUCAGCAUUCCCCACUCUGUGCCAACAAUUCAUUUGGUUAUUGCAUCCGUGUGGCGCCCUGGGGAUUGCGUGCUUUUGAGUCAUCCUUCUCCCUGCAGCUUCUGUUUUCUGUUUCCAGCUUCCGACCCGUGAUUACCUCUCUUUGUGAGCUUGGCUUGGCUGCUCAUCCGGAGUGGGAGUCCUGGUCUCUGGGCGCCCUUCACAUCCAUGGCCCGGAUGGAUGGAUGGAGUCCUUCUUACCUGUCCAAUUGGGUCGGAAGGCCUUCUCACGCGGACCCGUCAAACGCUCUGUUAUCACUUAAUGAACGCCCAGCUCCUAUUUCCUUCGCAGUUCUUAUCUUAAGUGAAGAAGGUCCACUCUCGGCCGCAGUGUAGACACUGAGAGAAACUGCGUAUGCAAUACGCAGCACAUGCUGCAAGAAGGCACUCUCCACAGGAGUGGGAAGAUAGUUCUGUGAGUAUUUCGCUUCAUUUCCCUGUUAACAUAAAAGGCCUAGAAAAGUGGCAACUAUUUCCCGCAGUGAACCAGCAGAGCCAGUAAAUGCAGCGCCAAUCGUGGAUCCAUCUACUAAUUAAUUGACUCUUUGUGUUCCUCUUAUUUUGCCUUCCCAUGUCUCAGAGCCUUCACCUGAGUGGACGUCUGGGCCAGAUGUCCGUAUCCGUAUCCAGCUAGAUAGCUGGAUGGAUAGCUGGAUUGGUCGGUCGGUCGUCCGAGUCAUCCGCGCCAGUCGCGCAUCUCAUCUCUGGCGGCGCUUUCGUUUCAUUAAAAGCCUGUUUCAAUUUUCUGCACUUUAGUGCCUGAUGCACUUUGGCAUAUCGAGGGAUAUGCUCCUCCCCGCUCCUCUCCCUUCGCUCCUCCCAGUUCUUUUUUUCUUUUCUUGUUUUUGAGCCAUUUUUCCUGUGGCUCUGCGGUUCUGGCCGCCUUCCUUCGGCUUUCGGCUUUCGGCUUUUGGAUUUGGGACCGGCUUUGUGGUCCGACAACAUAUAUUUGCACUUUGUCUGUCCCAUGACGGAGAAGCUCCGCUCCUCGUACUCGGCUCUUCUGCCAUCUUCAGUGCGCGAUGCUUAACCCAUGAGAGCCCAAGCAUUAAGUGCUAAGUAUUAUUUCGCAGAACAUAAAUAUUAUAACUUCGGCGCUUGAAAUAGAAUUCUUUCUCCUCGAUGCGAAUUUAAGUAAUGCCUUCUUUUUUGGACUUGGGCAGUUGUGGAACCAUGGCAUGCCAUGGGUUAAAAUGGAGAACGAGAGUGCAGAUAAUUUUGACAUUUAGUCCCUUAUCUGCAGUUCGCGUCGCUUGAAAAUGGAAAUUCUGAGGAACCCCUCGUCCGCCUGCGGAUUUGUAUCGCUGUGAGGUCGCUGCAUUGGCACCCAGACGGGCGGCUGGCAAUCGAAGGGGGGAUUCCUAUUGAGGAAUCCUCCGUAGCUCUUCAUCUCCUCUUGGCGGGCAACUUUAUUAGCAGCCGGCGCGUCUCACAUCUUUCGCCGACUGCGCCUGGUCCGCCUGCUUCCAUCCCUGCCUCCUUCCGCCAGGAUAUGGCAAAUUAUCUCUGUCUAGAGAACGCCCUCGCUGGAAUCGCAUCCUCGCAGAGGGCAGAUCGAGUGCUUUGUCACUGCGGCGUGCCAUCUUUUCGCAUUUCAGAUCUGCGAUUUUGAUGUUUUAUUAUCUGGCUUACAGCUCCUUCGACUUCGACUGCUGAGUGAUUUGCGCACAUCAACGAGACCCAAUAGGCAAAUGCACCGAAUGAGCUUGGAACAGGUGGGCACCAAGUACGUGUACUUGGUACUUGCCCACUUCUUUCGGCCGAAGAUUUAUUUGGCUGGCGUAACAGGAGACGUAGGUUAAUCCCAAGUAGCUCCCUCGGCAGGCACCCCACCCCCUCCCUUCGUUCGGGGAGUAACUUUAGAUUGCUGUAGUCUGCAGUCUGAGCCGCGGUAAUUCACACGAAUGAUUCCUGGCAUUGUAAUUAUCGCAUUACUCGUAUGGCUUCUGCCAGGCGAAAACAAAGUGAAAUGCGGCAAAACCAAAGAGUUGGCCAGCAGAGUGCCGCUGGGUGUCGCCGCGCGGAUUGAAUUGCAGGCGGGCGCCAGCCGCCCAUUCUUCUUCUACCUGGCUGCACGGGAAGAAAUCUAUUGAUUUGGCCACAACUAUAUCCAUUGCAAGCCCACUUACGUUUCUCCAUCACUUUUUCUAUGAACCCCUCCUCCCCGCGCCUGCCCCUCCGCAAGUAUCCGCAAGCUGAGCGACCGAGGAGAUAAACAAAAUAAAUAUUGACGCGCGUCCAAUUCGCAAGAGGAGAGCCAAAAGCAAGGCAAACAGCUCGGAAAGGAGCAGCGGAAAGGGGGGAAGGGGGACGAGCAGAGCAAACAUCGUGACUUGGAGCGGCGGCGAAACAUCAAGCACACUGAAUAAAGUACUCAAAACGUAUUUAAAAGUACUAAGCACAAGUACCGCAGAUUAA